CAACGACGAUUAACGAUUCAUCGAUCAGGGGAUGGGAUGCGUCUGAGUAGCUUGUGGGAGGGGUAACGGUCCACCAAGGCUACGAUCAGUAGGGGUUCUGAGAGGAAGGUUCCCUCAUUGGAACUGAGACACGCUCUAACCUCCUACGGGAGGCAGCAGUGAGGAAUAUUGGUCAAUGGGCGAGAGCCUGAACCAGCCAAGUAGCGUGCAGGAUGACGGCCCUGUGGGUUGUAAACUGCUUUUAUGCGGGGAUAAAGUGAGGGACGUGUCCUUCAUUGCAGGUACCGCAUGAAUAAGGACCGGCUAAUUCCGUGCCAGCAGCCGCGGUAAUACGGAAGGUCCGGGCGUUAUCCGGAUUUAUUGGGUUUAAAGGGAGAGUAGGCCGUGGAUUAAGCGUGUUGUGAAAUGCAGGUGCUCAACGUCUGCACUGCAGCGCGAACUGGUUCACUUGAGUGUGCGCAACGCAGGCGGAAUUCGUUGUGUAGCGGUGAAAUGCUUAGAUAUGACGAAGAACUCCGAUUGCGAAGGCAGCUUGCGGGAGCACAACUGACGCGAAGCUCGAAAGUGCGGGUAUCGAACAGG
rnacentral:rRNA from 1 species